GCUUAAAAUGAUGGCUGGAUCAAUUUCAGCAACAAUCCUCUCACAUCCAUACGCUGCGAGAACGCUGUGAGAGCGCUGUCACAGCAUUCUAUUUCCAUCCAUCGCUGCGAGACGGAUGUGACAGUAAUUAGUGGCUGGAUCAAUUACAGCAACAUGCUCUCUUAGCCACAGUUUGUGGCAGCGCUCUCACAGCACUCUCACAGCCCUCUCACAGCAGGAAGUACCAAUGCAUUGUGGGUUAAAAAAUUCAAACUAAAAAUCAGUUAGAGCAGGAAUUUUGUAGGAGGAAAGAACAAAGGAGUUAUGCUGAAAUGGCCAUCAUAUCAUUAUUAAUUUACAAAGCAUAUGUAAGACCUUCUCUUGAGACCAAUUUUCUGGUUUCGUCUUCCAUGAUUCAUUGUCUGAGCGUCAUAAGUGAAUUUUGACAAGUGAUAUAAGGUAUCAUAUACUGUCAAUGGAAAACAAGCAAAUUAUGAGGAUCAACUAGAGAGAGAAUUGGGACUCGAUUCUGCCACCAAACUUCGGUAAUCGUCUACACCCAGUUGUUUCACCUCUUCAUUCUUGACGUUAUAAUGAUAGACGGAAGAACAUUGAGAUUGGACCGAGCAACUAGAGUAUGCUUCGUAAAUGCAUGGUUUUUGCAACGUACGAUAUAUUAGAUAUAGACAUAGAAACAAUGAACAUUCCAUUAGCAGUAGCAUAGGCUACUCAAUACUGCGAACAGAACUGAUUAUUGUAUUGGACGCUGGCUUGACUCGAAACACAUCGUCAGAUCAUCACGGAUUAAAGCACUCCAAGUUGGGAUAAACACAAAUUCUAAAAGGGGGAAAGUGUUGCAGUCGAACCACGGAGCAAUGACCAGGCCGGUGUAGCACAACGACAAUGAGCAAAGGAUUUAGAUUGCAGAUACAAACACCUAAAAUCAGAAGCAUCAUCAAAGGUCGAUGACAGGAACUCAAAUGUAAACAACGAUUGACUUUACAAAUAUGACAUCAGAAAACAUAAAACUGAAUGGGACAAACUAUGGGAAUCCAUACACGAAUGAAACAGAGACACCACUUCCUGAAUCAGAGGAUUUUAACUCAACGGCCACUGAGCUGAAUCAUCAGUGUCAAGGAAUAGCGGGAACUAUUGCUGAUGAUAACACACCAACAUCAACAUUAUCUGGGGCAUUGUUUACCUUUUGGAGACUGUUCAAACAGAAUGCACAUGCAACCCUUAGCUACUGUAUGGUUUUCUGGAGUUUCGGAAUGUGUGUGGCGUUCCUUGGGCCUACACUAUUGGACUUGGGGUGCCAAACUUCUACGGAUGAUAAAACCAUGAGCUGGGUCUUCUUCUUCCAAGCUGUAAUGACUCUUGUUGGCUCUAUACUGGGAGGAUUCAUGGUUAAAUUUUUUCCUCCGAAUGGUAUCAUCCUUACUGCUAUAAGUGUCCUGCCCAUGACGUUAUUCAUCGUGCCAUUCUGCAAUGUUAUGGCUGCUCUGGGGGUGGUACUAGCUGUUAUGGGGAUCAACAUGGGAAUGAUAGACUCUCUAGCUAACCUGCAAAUGCUCAAGAUUUAUGGGCCGGAUGUGGCGCCCUUUAUACAGGCGUUACACUUUUUCUACGGAUUGGGAGCAUUUGUGAGUCCAAUGAUCGCCCAGCCAUUUCUUCUCAACGAGGACUGUUCCCCAUAUGUUUUGGCACUUGGGAAUAAUUCCAAUAGUAACAUAUCUACGAGUGAGAACCACUCAGUUCAAAUCCUUGAUGGAGACUUAGAGUCGGCCCAGGAUGAGACGCAUGUUAGAUACGCGUUUUGGAUCAUGGCAGCCGUACAGCUACCUAUUCCUGUUCUAGUGUUUAGUUUGUAUCUCAGAGACAGAGGAGAUGGGAAACCUCCUGAAGAUAGCAGAGAUGUUGCAGCAAAAACAAACAAAACUAGUAACCAUAGUAACCAACCCAAACAUAAAAAUGAAUAUCAAGAUAUAGACGAUUCCAAACAAAAAGAGCCUUUGUUGGGACUAUGCAAUGAUAUAAAAGAUGCUGUCUUGUCUACAUCCUGUACACCCAGUAACAUAUUAGAAACGGGAACAACAACGACAACCAAGGUGCUUUUUGUUGCACUGUUUGCCGGGAUUCUCAUGUUCCUAUACGAUGGAGUUCAGGGUAGCUUUGGUGGCUAUGUUUACUCUUACGCAGUAAAAAGCGUUGAAGACAUGGACAAAACUGAGGGAGCAUACCUUAAUGCAUGUUUCUGGGGUUCGUUUGCAUUGGGCCGUCUGUUGUCUAUUCCCCUUGCUGCCAUCUUUACCCCUGCCUUCAUGUUAGCUUGUAAUAUAUUUGGCUGCACAGGCUUCAUGGUGCUUAUGCUUGCACUGAGGCACAACCACAUAGCUCUGUACAUAGGCAGCUUCUUCUUUGGUAUAUUUCUCAGCAGCAUAGUGCCCACUACUCUAGCUCUUGCUGAGUUGCUCAUUGAUAUGACAUACACACCUAUAGGAAUUAAGAGAAUGCUGAGAAAUAUGGGACUUGACGGAGAAUGUGGGGCAACAAUCACAACAUUUGUUGUUGUCAUGGCAGCCACUGGUGAAGUUGUCUUUCCAGUAGUAACAGGCAAUUUGUUUGCAGCCUUUGGCCCGCUCAGUUUCCUUAUAUUCUGCUUGAGUAUAUGUGUGGCUAGUAUAGGAGUGUAUGUGUGUCUCAUGUUAAUGGGUAGAACUGCGCCAAAAUUUCAAGCAACUUUCAGUGGAUCAUUUAUCUGGUCAAGACCCUGGAGUUGCCAGAACAAAUCUGGGAGCAUCAUUCCAAAGAGAAUCAAGUUCUACUCAAGAAUGGAGGAAGAUUCCAGUGAAUAUGAAAUGGAAUCACCAGUACAUGACAAUGCUAAGAAAACACCAGCUCCUGAUACCAAUUUGAGAUAAAGUUGGACUAUAAGCGCAUGUGAAAACAAAUGGUGGUCAGGUUUUGACAUCUGAAAAGGAUACAAAGUAGUAGAAUCCACAUGAAAGACAUGAAGAAAACAGCCAUGAAUAUGAAUAUGACACUUCAAAUUCUUGAGAUCAUUCUAGAAUAUCUAGUCAAUUUCUAUACAUUCUAAAAUUCAAAUACUUGUAGUGUAGUCAAACUUUAUAGAAAAUAGGGUUAAAUAUUGAACACCUUUGAUGUUAGUUGUGAGAUGCCAGCUAUAUACAUCUUCCACUUCGAAGGUGUUAUAACCUUAUGAAUCAAGAUGAGCUAUAUAGACGAGUCCUAUCAACACUCCUUCCAAAGGUUUGGCAACCCUACAUAUUAGACAAACUUUCCUAUGGACCUCCUAGGGAGCCCGAGGAUGAAGAAGUUUAAGUUUGCCACAAAAAUUCAAAAAGGCAAUAUUAUACAAUAUUAUACAAUGGAGUAUCUUGGUAGCCACACUUGGAGGGAGUGUAAUCAUCUUAAACGAUCAAAGGUAUAGGAAGUUCCUAUGUAGGGUAAGGGUACAUGACCUUGAUGGGGAUUCUCUUUGGCAGUCUUUUAAUAACAGAAAAAGGAGUGUAAAGAUAUGUUAAUAAUAUAAAAUAUGUUAUAAUUAUGAACAAAGGGAAAUAUAAAAUGGUUCUAUCACCAUGACAACCAGAAACUGAAACAUUAAAAUAUAAUCCCACAUAUAUGUUUAAACUAUUGCUGUAUUGAUGCAAGAAUCAAGUGCUAAACCAACAAAUAUAAUUUGCCAUAUGGGGCAGAUGGCAUUCAUCUUGGCCAGUGAACUUGGCAAACCAGUCAACUGGCAUAAAUUAGUACCUUGGUUUGUCAUCUUGACCAGUUAACUUUUGAGAAUACUUCACAUGAUAGUUUGAUGACAUCAUAAGACUUGACCUGUUAAUAAUAACUACACAGAUUUGCAAAUAUGCAAUUGUUAAAAUGGAACGAAAAAGUUUAAAGCAUUCCAGUUUGGGAAAAUACAAGGACCACUAUAUUUGUUCAUGUAUAUAGAAUAUUUACUGAUGAGUUGUACCAGUAGUCCAGAGCAGUAAUUUUUGUUGCAGUAAAUUAACCAUUGUUUUGCACAUGAUGUUCCUGUUGAAAUAUGCUAUUAAUAUUAAUACACUUUAAUUAUUGAAACUGUUAAAGUUUUACAUCAUGUUCCAAUACAAAUUAAGUGUUGAGUAAAUCAAAACUUAAAAACUUACUUAGAACUCAAGAUGACACACUUUUUGAAUCUCAAUUAAAUAUUAGAUUAGAUUAGAUUUUGCAUAAAAUUUAAAUUUGAAUUCCUGAAAGUGGAAUGGAUAUAAUUAAUGAUAUCUGUGGGCUCCCUGGCUCGAGUCAGAGAUAAACAAUAUAUCAAGUUUAUCCUCAGAUAUGACAUAUAUAUCCAUGUGUUAUCUACCCCAAAACAAGUUAAGUCUAUCUAAGUAUGAGACACAAUUACCAUUAAUUUAUUGUGCAUGUAAUAUAUGUUCAUGGUUCAUUGGUACAUAGUUUGCAAACAUUUACAUAAAGUGUAUUCACAGAAAUAAAACCAUUUUACAGUUUAUAUUAUGUUGAACAAAUGUGAAUAUAGAUAGAAAAAUGCUAUUGCACUAUAUAACAUUAUAUCAUAUGCCAUAUACACAGAUAAUUACACCCCCUCCAUAAGUUUGGCA
rnacentral:misc_RNA from 1 species